rnacentral:rRNA from 1 species
AGCGAACGCUGGCGGCAGGCCUAAUACAUGCAAGUCGAACGGCUCCUCGGAGCAGUGGCGGACGGGUGAGUAACGCGUGGGAAUGUGCCCUUUGGUACGGAACAACACAGGGAAACUUGUGCUAAUACCGUAUGUGCCCUUCGGGGGAAAGAUUUAUUGCCAUUGGAGCAGCCCGCGUUGGAUUAGCUAGUUGGUGGGGUAAAGGCUCACCAAGGCUACGAUCCAUAGCUGGUCUGAGAGGAUGAUCAGCCACACUGGGACUGAGACACGGCCCAGACUCCUACGGGAGGCAGCAGUAGGGAAUCUUGCGCAAUGGGCGAAAGCCUGACGCAGCCAUGCCGCGUGAAUGAUGAAGGUCUUAGGAUUGUAAAAUUCUUUCACCGGGGAAGGUAAUGACGGUACCCGGAGAAGAAGCCCCGGCUAACUUCGUGCCAGCAGCCGCGGUAAAAC